CAGUGGGGAAUUUUGGACAAUGGGGGCAACCCUGAUCCAGCAAUGCCGCGUGUGUGAAGAAGGCCUUCGGGUUGUAAAGCACUUUUGUCCGGGAAGAAAUCGCACCUGAUAAUACCGGGUGUGGAUGACGGUACCGGAAGAAUAAGGACCGGCUAACUACGUGCCAGCAGCCGCGGUAAUACGUAGGGUCCAAGCGUUAAUCGGAAUUACUGGGCGUAAAGCGUGCGCAGGCGGUUGUGCAAGACCGAUGUGAAAUCCCCGGGCUUAACCUGGGAAUUGCAUUGGUGACUGCACGGCUAGAGUGUGUCAGAGGGGGGUAGAAUUCCACGUGUAGCAGUGAAAUGCGUAGAGAUGUGGAGGAAUACCGAUGGCGAAGGCAGCCCCCUGGGAUAACACUGACGCUCAUGCACGAAAGCGUGGGGAGCAAACAGGAUUAGAUACCCUGGUAGUCCACGCCCUAAACGAUGUCAACUAGUUGUU
rnacentral:rRNA from 1 species